rnacentral:rRNA from 1 species
UACGUAGGGUGCGAGCGUUGUCCGGAAUUACUGGGCGUAAAGGGCGCGUAGGCGGCAUGGCAAGUCAGGAGUGAAAGGCCUGGGCUCAACCGAGGAACUGCUUUUGAUACUGCCAAGCUAGAGUGCGGAAGGGGCAACUGGAAUUCCCAGUGUAGCGGUGAAAUGCGUAGAUAUUGGGAAGAACACCUGAGGCGAAGGCGGGUUGCUGGGCCGACACUGACGCUGAGGCGCGAAAGCCAGGGGAGCAAACAGG